GCCCGGUUGGCACAAUUGGUUAGCGCGUGAGACUUUUAAUCUCAAGGCUGUGGGUUCGAGUACGUUGAUGCU